rnacentral:rRNA from 1 species
UACGAAGGUCCCGAGCGUUGUUCGGAAUCACUGGGCGUAAAGGGAGCGUAGGCGGCGUGGUAAGUCGGGUGUGAAAUCUCGGAGCUUAACUCCGAAACUGCAUUCGAUACUGCCGUGCUGGAGGACUGGAGAGGAGACUGGAAUUUACGGUGUAGCGGUGAAAUGCGUAGAUAUCGUAAGGAAGACCAGUGGCGAAGGCGGGUCUCUGGACAGUUCCUGACGCUGGAGGCACGAAGGCCCAGGGGAGCAAAACGGGG